AUGAGUCCGUUAACAUCAGCGUGCCUCUGCGUGGUUCUGUUGUCCGUUUGUGCCGUGGAUUUGGCCUUUUCAGACAAGAAACUCAUUACACCUGAGUCUGGACAGGACGCCACUAUGGAAUGCAAAGUUCCACAAGGCAAAACCAUCAAAGCUGUGAAGUGGAGCAGAGUUGACCUGGUAGAUGAAUAUGUGCUUUUGUACCAGGAUGGGCAGUUUGAUCCAGACAAACAGCAUCCAUCUUUUAAGAACCGGGUGGAUCUGCAGGACAGACAGAUGAAGGAUGGAGACGUGUCUUUGAUUCUGAAGGCUGUGACGACUGCUGAUGAUGGAUCAUACAAGUGCCGUGUCCUUAUGGUAGAAUCAGCAUCAUGGGAGACCAUGGGAACCGUCAACAUGAGUGUCAGUCUCCCAGGUGAGUGAGCAGGUUUCAGUGUGUAUGUGAUUGUUAUUGGAUUGGAUUCUGUUCUGUUCUUCACUCAUCACCUACAUGAACAUGUUGACACCUCUCCUGUUUAUCUCCUGCAGGUCAAGCAGAUGUACCUACAUCGACCAUUGUUCUGUCAGUUUUUGGUGCCCUUGUUGUAUUAUCUGUUUUGUUUUGUGUUGGGAAGUUCAUCUACAGAAAAUGCAAAAAACAACCACGUCAGGGGUCGUACUAGUCUCCUGAUGAACAUCACCAGGUUUGAAACCACUAAAAUGAAAAUACUAUUUAAAAACUGAUAUUAGUUUAAAAAAAAACACACACACAAAGAAAGAGAUUAAAAAGCCCAUGAUGAGUGUGAUUGGCCCGUUAGGUACCAUUAUGUCCUCCUAUGCAUAUCUGGCUAUGAGUUAUUCUGGUGCCAGUUAUUGUCCUGAAGAGCUUGGAUUGAUUUAACGCAGAGGUUCCCAAAGUGUGGGGCCCGCCCCCUAGGGGGGGCGCAGAGCCAUUGCAGGGAGGGCGCAGUAUGAAAAAAAAAAAAAUGCUUGGACACUGCUAGCAUAAUGGACAGAUUUUUGACGGGGCUCCCACACAAACACAAAGCAGGAGAUGAAGCAUCGCCAAAUAUGUUUCCAAACCAACUUCCUUCAAAGCCAAAGACUAGAAAAUAUGGUGAAGCAUAUCUUCCCUUUGGUUUCACCUGCACAAGUGCCAAGGUAGGUCUCCCCUGCACAAUUAGUUUUCCCUGCGUCGGGAGCAGCGCUGGGCUCUCCAAAUCACGGACAAACGGUAUCCCAUUUUGAUUUUUAGUUCACAAACACUUCUUGUAAUGACUAACUACUCCUAUUAUUUUGGAGACGUUAGCUCUUUAUGCAGUAAAGUUACAGUGGGAUACAAAUAAUAUCAGGCUGAUCCUGCCACCAUUUGUUCCCCCUGUCUAAAUCACAGACAAACAGUAUCCCACAGUUCAUACAUACAUGAAGCCACAUUUAUAGGGAGGUGCACAUCAGGUAAUGUGGUAGGAUUACAGAAGGGUUUACAGUCAUGAUGUACCUCUGACAUAGAUUUAAUUCAGAAGCUUGAAUCCCUCAUGGCGUGAAGCUGACAUUAAAAUAAGAGAACAAAAUCUUCUUUUUUUUUUUUUUUCAUUUAAAUGUACAAUAUAUAAAGCCAUCUUUUUUUGUAUUCAGUUUAUUUGUCAAUACUAAGAACUUUGUAACAGAUGUGCUGCACACAGUAGAUGAUUUGUAGCUCUGGGAAACUUAACAGCUCUUCAUCUCAAAAUGUCAGACUGUAACUUCACUGCUGAGCUCUCGAGUUAAACUGUCUGUAUGGAGGAAACUUAAAGUGAAACUCUGAGCUGAGGAACAAACUCUUCAUCAUCCUCAUCCUCAGCAAACAGCGCGAGUCUCAUCCGGUGAUGAAAACAGAUAAUAGAAUUUCUCACAACGUCCCAACACAAGCACCAACAUUUUUUUGUUCUUUUAUUAUCAUUAUUGUAAUUUUUCUUUUAUUAUGGUUCCCUCAGUUCUGUGCAGUUGACCAAUAGGAGCACAGAGCAGUGAUUGUCUCAGUUUGUCUGCAGAGUGCAGCUGUUACAUGAGUUAGGUUAUAGUCCGUUCUGCUCAAAGUCUUUGGUAAGCGUUUUUGCCUUUAUUAUGUUAGGUCAUAUUGUGUUAUAUCAUAAAAGUAUUGUCUCCAUAUGAGCAUGUGGUUUAAAAACAAAUUAAUGCUUACCAGGUCCAUCUAAUCCCAAAUAAUCAGGAUCAAAUAAAAAUGCAUUCCAAACUAGAGCUCAGGAGGUUAAACUGAGUCAAACCAACUGUCCUCAUGAAGAGAUGAACUUUAAUCCUGCACAACUACAGUCACAAUCCAGGUUUUCAACAGAAUGAAACCAAAAAGUUUUAUAAAUUUGGGAUGUUAAAUGAUGCAAAAUAUGUUUGAGCUUAAAUACUGAAUAAACUAAAUUAAACCAAGAUGUUGACAGGUUUAUAUUUUUAAAACAUUAAAUAAAUUACUGUGUAAAUAAGUAUGAAUGAAAACCACCGUUGCAGAAUUUAUGUUAAAAAUAAUUUCUUUGUUGAUGGAUUCAUGAAACACUGCUCCUGUCUGAGCUAUAAUGUGAUUCUUUCAUUGAUUUUUAAGAAUGUUUGAUCUUUCAGUCUUUAAUGUUUUUCUGUCAAAUUAAAAUAUAAGAAUAAAACUUAAUUGUUCUGCUUCUUCUGUUUUCUUAUGUCCUUUCACUAGUCUGUUCAAUCAUUUACUUAUCUUUAUUAAGAAGGUCUAUGAUUUUAAAUAAACAGAUUUUUAAUAUCAUGCUGCAAAAAGAAGCCAGUGCUAGUUUGUGUUCAUAACUCCAUCAGUUUUAACAAGAUCAUCAACAGCAACGACUGAAAUGAAGCUCAAAACCAUGACAGAGACUCCACCCUGUAGAUGCUCACUGUUGUAACCUCUCUCCUGACCUCCUCUGUACAUACUGACAAUGAUUUUCAGUGCAGUUCUUGUGUACUUUGAAAUGCAGCAAUUUCUUCCUGUUUCCUUUAAAAUGUUUUUUCACAGCUGUCACCCUUUUACCAUGACCAUGACAUUUUGUGAUGAGGAUUAAGUGAUGACUAGAUGAUCAACUGAGGGGCCAGAUGUAUCUCUCAGGUCCUGUUUCUUAAGCACAUAACGUUCAGAUAAUAUUUAUCUGGUGCAGAUAGUUUGUUUUUUUUAAGCGUGAUACUUCUUCCCCUGUCCCGAACUUGUCCUGUUUCCACUGUACACCAUACUGAGAGAUGCCUAGUUAAGCAUUUGACAAUUGAGCACAGAACCAAUGUUAAAUUGUAACUUUCGAGACAUAGAAUAGUAUUAUUGCACAAACAAUGUGAUUCUAAAAAGGCUACUACCUUACAACCUUAUAAACAAAACUGGUUCAGCCCUUCAGUAAGUUUCUUUUUAUGCUUGAAUGAUUCAAGGGUCAGGUACUAGGACUGUGUUGAAAAUAAGUGUAAAAGCAGCCAAUGGCGGGCUUUACUUGGUGUCAGUGACAGAAAUGAAAAAAAGCUCAAAUGAGUGAGAAGGACGAUGAAGGAAACAUCUGUGCUGUGUCUGCUCUGUAACAUACAUAUCCACAUCACAACACCAUAAACCACGUUACAAGCAACUGGGGUGGGUAAGGGGGUGAGAGGUGAGCUGAUGUAGACUCAGCCAUCUUGCCAAGCUCUAUUAAUCCAGCGCUGGGACUUAGACCUGCCGUCUGACCUCGGCCUUGGAGAUAAGUGUUCGAAGGCUUUUGGAAUUAUCUGGAAUUAUCUGGUGCUUACCAUGAUUUAAAAUCUUAUUUUUAGACAGGCCAGAUAAUUUGCCUUGUUUUAAAAAUGAUAUACUUGUUUCUAAGCCUUGAUUUUAGAGUAUAAACUUAAAUCAAGAAUAACCAUAUAAUUGUGUCUAUAUUAGUACAGAAAUCCUAAAAUGGAAAGAAUAACUCUUAAAAUAGCCUACAUUAGGUCUCUCACCAGAUCUCUCUCAAAAUAUAACUUGUUUCAAGAUGCAGUGACAAACUCCAUUUGCUUGAUUUAAUAAAAAUUCACACAAGGCAUCUGUUGAAAACAUGAUUUAUUGAAAAAUCAUGUCUGACUUCAAAUGUUUACAUAAAAGAGAAAACAUGAUACAAAUCUCAUUUCAGAGACAGCUGUUUGUCCCAGCAUGCCAGCAUUAUUGUGGCACAACACUAACAUUGGUUUAGGGAACAUUUGAUGAGGGUUUGUUAACCGACAUCAGAACACUACACUAAGAAAAUACGUUGGUGCAGCCCUAAUCUUAAGGCUGAUUUCUAUGGGAAAUGAUAUCAGAAAGACUAUGUUAUUGGCACAAACACAAUUUCCCUGAAACUAAUAGAACAGUAUGAAGUAUAAUCAAUGAGCUCAUGUGCUAAUUCUGUAGCAUGAACUGAUACAGGUGUUCUUCAAUCUUACUUUUCAGUCGCAAUACAGUUUGUAAAGAAAUAAUGGGAGCAAGAACUUUUUUGAACUAUCAUAAUUAAGUAUUUUCAAAAGAAUCAGCAUCUGUCCACAAGACUGUUUCAAUUUGUUGUCAUUGUAUUCACAGUGUCUACAUUUGCUAUAAGCAAAACCAACCCCUUCUUUAAAGCCAGCAAUCUCAUGCUGGGAUAGCAUGUUUCCGCAACUGGCUUUUGUGAGAUUAUUCUGUUAUCAUAUGUUACCUUAUAUCUGUAAUCAAAGUAGUUGAAUUAUGAUACUGCUGUAGAUCAUAUUAUACCCCUUAAUAUAGAGUGUGUGAUCAGUAUGUAGUUUUAGUUUGCAUUAUACUUCUGACUUAAAAGAGUGUGAAAAUCAUUAGAUCUAUUGGAUUGACCUGUAUUACUCGACACUGUUGAAUGUGUUACACUGUUUCUUGACAUUUCAUACUGCUGAACCAUGAAGAGAAUGUUGUGUGCAGAGGACCUUGUACUGAUAAUGGGAGAAACAGACUACAUUCCAUACCCCCACCUUUACGGAGAGCAGAAAGACAGGGAGCCGAGGUCAUAACUUAGGCGCCGUGUGAGAGAAAACAUGUGAAUGUUUAGGCUUUUACGACUAGGUGGGGGCUACUAGAGGCUAUAAAAGGCUGAGUAACCCGUCACCAUUUUGAGACUUGCUGUGACCCUCUGCAGGCAGGUCUCCCCAUCAUGAUGGUUCUUAUGCUCUUAAGUGUUGAAUUAUAUGGAAAUAAAUAAUUGUUGAUUGAGCAUUUAUACACCGAGUAUUGUCCUUCCUUCAGCCCAAAGAUUAAAAGAAUUGGGAGAUUUUAACACUUUAAAAAACACCAAACUAUUCAAUUUCACCAUUUGACAUUUC
ensembl:lncRNA